UUAAGCGAAUAAGAGCGCAGGGUGGAUGCCUUGGCACUAAGAGCCGAUGAAGGACGUGAUAAGCUGCGAAAAGCUUCGGGGAGGAGCAAAUAUCCAUUGAUCCGGAGAUAUCCGAAUGGGGAAACCCGGCAGAGAAGACCUCUGUCAUCCAUACGCCAAUCCAUAACGUAUGGAAGGGAACCCGGUGAACUGAAACAUCUAAGUAGCCGGAGGAAAAGAAAGAAACAUCGAUUCUGGGAGUAGCGGCGAGCGAAACCGGAGGAGCCUAAACCAGCGUGCGUGCAUGCUGGGGUUAAGGACUGCAACAAGUGACCGGAAGGUUAACAGAAUGGUUUUGGGAAAGCCAGCCAUAGAGGGUGAAAGCCCCGUAUGUGAAAACCGGAAGGAGCGGCAGGAUCCAGAGUACUACGAGACACGUGGAACCUUGUAGGAAAUCGGGGGGACCACCCCCCAAGGCUAAAUACUCCUUAGUGACCGAUAGCGCAUAGUACUGUGAAGGAAAGGUGAAAAGGACCCCGGGAGGGGAGUGAAAGAGAACCUGAAACCCUGUGUUUACAAGCUGUGGAACAUCAUUAUUCGAUGAACCGCGUACUUUUUGUAGAACGGUCCGGCGAGUUACGCUUACUGGCAAGGUUAAGCACUGAAGGUGCGGAGCCGGAGGGAAACCAAGUCUGAAUAGGGCGAUGAGUCAGUAGGAGUAGACCCGAAACCGGGUGAUCUAUCCAUGUCCAGGUUGAAGCUGCCGUAAGAGGUAGUGGAGGACCGAACGCACAUCCGUUGAAAAGGGUGGCGAUGAGGUGUGGAUAGGGGAGAAAUUCCAAUCGAACCCGGAGAUAGCUGGUUCUCCUCGAAAUAGCUUUAGGGCUAGCCUCGUAUUAGUCUAGUGGAGGUAGAGCACUGAAUUUCCUAGGGGGCGUCAAAGCUUACCGAAGAAUAUCAAACUCCGAAUGCCAUAUAGAUGAUGUACGGGAGUCAGACUGCACGAGAUAAGUUGGGCAGUCAAAAGGGAAAGAGCCCAGACCGCCAGCUAAGGUCCCAAAGUGUGUGUUAAGUGGAAAAGGAUGUGGGAUUUCGAAGACAACUAGGAUGUUGGCUCAGAAGCAGCCAUACAUUAAAAGAGUGCGUAAUAGCUCACUAGUCGAGAGGUCCUGCGCCGAAAAUGUCCGGGGCUGAAACACAACACCGAAGCUGCGGAACCCGCAAGGGUUGGUAGAGGAGCAUUCUUAAAGGAACGAAGCAGUACCGUAAGGAGCUGUGGACUUUUAAGAAGAGAGAAUGCCGGAAUGAGUAGCGAGAGUAAGGUGAGAAUCCUUACGGCCGAAUAUCCAAGGUUUCCAGGGUAAAGCUGAUCUGCCCUGGGGAAGUCGGGACCUAAGGCGAGGCCGAGAGGCGUAGCCGAUGGACAACAGGUUGAGAUUCCUGUACUACAGUAUGACAGAACUGUGGGGACGCAGAAGGAGAGCACUACCUGGAAUGGAAUCCAGGGGCAAGCACAGGAGGGGUACGGCUGGAAAAACCGCCGUGCAACCCAAAGGUGUGACGCAUACCGAACUAAAGUAGGGAAAUGUGUGAGCCGGCUGCCGAGAAAAGCCGCUAUUGUUUGUACUGUACCCGUACCGUAAACCGACACAGGUGGAUGAGGAGAGAAUCCUAAGGCCGACGGAAGAAGCAUUGCUAAGGAACUCGGCAAAAUGACCCUGUAACUUCGGGAGAAAGGGUGCCUCGAAAGAGGCCGCAGAGAAUAGGCCCAAGCAACUGUUUAGCAAAAACACAGGUCUAUGCAAAACCGCAAGGUGAAGUAUAUGGGCUGACGCCUGCCCGGUGCUGGAAGGUUAAGGGGAGAUGUCAGGAGACGAAGCAUCGAACUUAAGCCCCAGUAAACGGCGGCCGUAACUAUAACGGUCCUAAGGUAGCGAAAUUCCUUGUCGGGUAAGUUCCGACCCGCACGAAAGGCGUAAUGAUUUGGGCGCUGUCUCGGCAAUGCAUCCGGUGAAAUUGAAGUGCCAGUGAAGAUGCUGGCUACCCGCGCCAGGACGGAAAGACCCCAUGGAGCUUUACUCCAGCUUGAUACUGGGAUUCGGUAUUGUAUGUACAGGAUAGGUGGGAGGCUGAGAAAUGGUGACGCCAGUCGCCAUGGAGCCGCUGUUGGGAUACCACCCUUGCAGUACUGGAUUUCUAACCAGCAGCCGUUAACCGGCUGGGGGACAAUGUCAGGUGGGGAGUUUGACUGGGGCGGUCGCCUCCGAAAGGGUAUCGGAGGCGCUCAAAGGUUCCCUCAGAAUGGUUGGAAACCAUUCGAAGAGUGCAAAGGCAGAAGGGAGCUUGACUGCGACACCGACGGGUGGAGCAGGUACGAAAGUAGGACUUAGUGAUCCGGUGGUAUAAAGUGGGAUUGCCAUCGCUCAACGGAUAAAAGCUACCCUGGGGAUAACAGGCUUAUCACUCCCAAGAGUUCACAUCGACGGAGUGGUUUGGCACCUCGAUGUCGGCUCAUCGCAUCCUGGGGCUGUAGUAGGUCCCAAGGGUUGGGCUGUUCGCCCAUUAAAGCGGUACGCGAGCUGGGUUCAGAACGUCGUGAGACAGUUCGGUCCCUAUCCGGCGUGGGCGUAGGAUAUUUGAGAGGAGCUGUCCUUAGUACGAGAGGACCGGGAUGGACUGGCCGCUGGUGUAUCUGUUGACUUACCAAGGUCAUGGCAGAGUAGCCAAGCCGGGAAGGGAUAAACGCUGAAGGCAUCUAAGCGUGAAGCCCCCCUCAAGAUGAGAUAUCCCUACGUAAAGUAGUAAGACCCCUUGAAGACGACGAGGUAGAUAGGGCAGAGGUGGAAGUGUGGUAACACAUGGAGCUGACUGUUACUAAUCGGUCGAGGGCAUAACCGA
rnacentral:rRNA from 1 species